CUCCCACGGGUGCAGCAGAAGCCUGCAGGCCGGAGUCCGCCACAAUACAGGGUGGCAGUCUCCCCAGCUCACUCCUGCAGGACUCUGCACCGUGCGGGGGAGCUCAUUUUCCGCCCGUGCUUCCGCAGGGGCGACCGCCUCCAACUUUCCUUCCUUCUCUGCACUGCGUCCCGCCUCAGGCGGCCCCUCCUCACUCCCAGGUCUUUCGUCCCCCUGGUGCUGGGACACUAUUUCGAGAACUCCUUGAAGCACCCGGGUCUGGGGGUAGCAGGAGCUCCACUGUCUUUUAGCAGCCUCAACCACUCCCAGGCCAAUCGUUACCUAGGCAACGGCCCGCUCUCGCGAGACCACGUGCACCCUGCGGAAUCACUUAGCAACCAGCGCAGCAGCGGUGAGCUGAGCCCAGGCUUCAGCGGAGAGAUGGAGCCGCGGGGUUUGAUGGGGCCUCAGGAUAAAGUUGCUGGGCGGCCAGAGAAGUUGGGGAGCUCUGGCUAAGAGAAGUAUGUCCAGAGGGAUUCCACUGUACCUGUGAUGACGGACUAUGGACAGCUCAGAGAGGAGGAUGUAUAAACACUUGGACUGCCACUUCUGAAAGUGAGGCUCUUUGGAAGUCAUUAGGUCAUGAAGUUGGAGCCCUAAGGAAUGGGAUCAGUGCCCUUAUAAGGGAAGACAUGAGAGCCUGCUUACUCCGUCUGUUCUUUGGCCAUCUGUAAAGAAGGAAGAGAGCUUCACCAGAACCCAACAAUGCUGGCAUCGAUCUCAAAACUCCCAGCCUCGAAACUGAGAAAUAAAUGUUUGUUUUUUGAGCCACUCACUCUAUAGUAAUUUUCUAGUCUAAACUGAUUGAGAUGAGGGACAUUCAACCACAUCAGCCUAGGGUAGGUAACUAUCGUCCAGGUGAUUCUGAGGCUGACCUGGACAGGGUAGAACACAAAAACUUUUCAGCACAUGUGUGCUUUGGAACAGGCAGUCAUACAUCAAGAGAUCUGUACUAUUUGCUAAUAUUGAUGGACAAUGUGUAGCAGAGAACAUCUCCAGUCUCGAGUUGGGUACCACAUGGAGUCAACAAAUAUUUAUUGAUUUAUAAAGAAUGUAUGAAUUUAAGUGAUAAAGUUUCAGUGACAUACAAUGUUGAUUUAGUAGCAAAAAGAAGUUUGUAGUUUAAAAAGAAAGAAAGACCACUGAAUGGCCCAUCUAGCAUAUAUAAACCAGUUUAUGGGGUUUUGUUAUGGCAAUCUGAGCAGACUAAGAGACAAGGACUUUUUUUACAAAUUUAGUAGGGAAGAAUAUAAAGCACAUAAACAGAAUGUUAAAAAACCAAUGGUAGGUACCCUAUUAAAGAUAAGAACAAAAUGGUAUGUCUAAGGCAAGCAAGUAUCUGGGGGGAGUUGGAGAAGGCUUCUCAGUAGUUUGAUACUUUCAGUUUGUAGUUUUCACAGUUUCAUGAUUGAAUUUAUGAAAGUGAGAAUGGAAGUUCAGGUUCGAGGGGAAAGGACAGUUUUAACAAAGAAAUUCAUGUUCAAGGAGUUGGGGCAGGUGGUGAGGUGGAGCUGAAGAACUCAUGGUGGUGGCAGAGCUCAGGGAGCAUCCUUCUCACUUUGGCCAUCACAGUUAUUCACAUCCAAGGUGCUCAGAAUCCCACCUCCUGUUUCUGGAAUAGCUUAUCCAGCUCGACUCUUUGUGUUUUGUUGGGACUCACCAUCCUAUGGAUUCCCUCUUGUUGGGAAAAUGCCAUAACUUAAUGGCUGAAAGGAAUGAAACGAUUUGCAUGGAAUUUGUACAUUCAAUGUUCUAUUGAAUGUCCGACCAGUUAACCAGGGAAAUUUCUCUAAAGACCACGAGAUGGCAGUGUUGUCUUGAGAAGAGAUUAUAUAGAGACCAUCAAAGUUUAGAAAAUUGAUACUAUUCCAUGCUUCACUAUCAAUACAUGAAAACAGUAAUAAUUAUACAAACCUCUAAAUUAAUUUAAAGUUUAUUCUUUGCUUGUUUUACGUAUAAAAAUUACUCACUGCUAACAUAGUUUAACAAUGAGACCAGUUUCUGAGCUUCUCAGAUAACAGAAGUCAUGAGAAAUUAAAAAAAUACAUUUUUUGAUAAUAUUUAAUAAUAUUAAAUAUUUUAUAUUAUUUGAUAAUAUCAAAUAGCAAUGUGCCUAACCCUGUUAUGAAGAAAUUAAUAAAUGUCUUGAUCUUUUUUUUAAAAAAACAUCUUCUCUAAUUGAUUGCUUACACAUGCUUCUUUACCAGAGGGAGUUGAUAAAGGGAUUUGGGGAGAGCUAGAUGAAAUGGAAAGCCAGGUGUGGAGUUGAGGGAAAGACCAGGAAUAAGGAAGUCGAGGCACUUGGCCAACAGGAGCUAAUCAAAGAAGAGAGACAAGAGUUGUAGUUUCUCUGGAAAACAGAGUAGCAUCUGGAAGCCUAUAGAACCACUGGUUUCUUCACGUUAUCAAGACUGUUCAGGGAAAGCUCAGCUGGAGGGGGAUCUUAAAGAAAGUAGAAAGACAGAGUAUGGUUUUUCUCCUUGGUUGAGCCAGGAACAAAAGACCCAGACUGGGAGCAGUUGGACUCUGGGGACUGUACAGACAGAGAUAGGCAGAACUGAUGAAGUUAUUUACUUUCUCCUUUUUCCUUUUUCUUCUAGAGACUGGCCUGCAAUCCAGGGCCUAUUCGCCCAGUGGGAAUAAUGCAGUCUGUGUUUUUUGCCUAGCUCUCAAGAUAAGAAUAAUUUUUUACAUUGUUAAAUGCAAAAAAUCCAAAGAAGAAUGAUAUUUUUUACCAUAAGAAAACUAUGAAAUUCAAAUUUCAGUGCUGAUAAAUAAAGCUGUCUACCACAUGAA